GGGGAAGGGAGCUGCCAUGGUCAUCGAUUCCCUGGAGCUCUGCUUUCACAUUGGUUGCUUCAAGUGUGUCAGCUGCAGGACUGACCUUGGGAGAGGGACUGAGUCCGGAGCUCAGGUCAGAGUCAGACACAGACAGCUCUUCUGUAACACCUGCUACAGCCGAAUCAGAGUCUGUUCCUCCGUCUCCAAGUGACCAGAAUGCUUUGCAACUGAUCGAAGAGGAGCG